rnacentral:rRNA from 1 species
GAUCAUGGCUCAGGAUGAACGCUAGCUACAGGCUUAACACAUGCAAGUCGAGGGGAAACGAUAUUGAAAGCUUGCUUCUUAGGCGUCGACCGGCGAAUGGGUGAGUAACGCGUAUCCAACCUGCCCCUGAGUAAGGGAUAGCCCAUCGAAAGAUGGAUUAAUACCUUAUGGUCUCCUUUGCAGACAUCUAAUUAGGAGUAAAGAUUUAUCGCUGAGGGAUGGGGAUGCGUCUGAUUAGCUUGUUGGCGGGUAACGGCCACCAAGGCAACGAUCAGUAGGGGUUCUGAGAGGAAGGUCCCCCACAUUGGUACUGAGACACGGACCAAACUCCUACGGGAGGCAGCAGUGAGGAAUAUUGGUCAAUGGACGGAAGUCUGAACCAGCCAAGUAGCGUGCAGGAAUGACUGCCCUAUGGGUUGUAAACUGCUUUUAUACGGGGAUAAAGUCAGAGUCGUGACUCUGUUUGCAGGUACCGUAUGAAUAAGGACCGGCUAAUUCCGUGCCAGCCGCUGC